UACGAAGGGGGCUAGCGUUGCUCGGAAUCACUGGGCGUAAAGGGUGCGUAGGCGGGUUUUUAAGUCAGGGGUGAAAUCCUGGAGCUCAACUCCGAAACUGCAUUCGAUACUGCCGUGCUUGAGGACUGGAGAGGAGACUGGAAUUUACGGUGUAGCGGUGAAAUGCGUAGAUAUCGUAAGGAAGACCAGUGGCGAAGGCGGGUCUCUGGACAGUUCCUGACGCUGAGGCACGAAGGUCAGGGGAGCAAACGGG
rnacentral:rRNA from 1 species